UUGCCUCUAUCAUAGACAUAGACCUAAUAUUCAUGGAUAUUAGGUCUCUAUUUGAGUCAAGAUAUUAGGUCUAUGGUAUAUUCGAAUUUUUCAAGUGAAAAAGUGUUAAAGAGCAAUUUGUAUUGCUUAAUUCAUACAAAACAAAUAUAUUGGUUGAUGAGGAAGAACCAUAGACCUAAUAUAAUGGUUAUUAGGUCUAUCGGAAGAACAAAUUUUAACCAAAUUCCUAAAUUAUCUGAAAAAGUAAGCAGAAUUUGGCAGAUUGUUUCUAACGAAACUAAUCAUGGAUAUUUUUAAGUCAUUACUUUCAAAACCAACAGAGAAUAAUGAUGUGGCCUAUUGUUGAAGAAUAGGAGCAGGUAUUCAUACAAAUAAUGCGAUAGAGAGCUUGAAUAAAUAUCUGAAAUCUAAUAAAAUAGAAGGAAAAGAAAAUAAGAGUUGAAAAGCUAUCAGAUUUGUUGGAAGAAAUAGUUGAUGAGAAGAUGUGGAUGAAAAUUAUGAGAAAUGAAAGACCUAUCAACAAAAAAUUUCUGUAGAAUCUCAUAAAAAAGCAGAAACAAUAAAAGACUUAAUAGAGGAGGUCUGUAUAUGAUGAUAAAUAUUAUAAUACACAAUUUAUAUCAUCAUGUGAUCCAGAUUGUCAAUUAGGAUAUUGUAGUCAAUGUUGAAUAUGCUUGCACAAAUAUAAAUGGGAGUGUUCCUCUAAUAGCAUCAAAGUUAUAUUGUGCAAGCAUUUACAUGCUGUUACUAUGUUCGGACAAAGAAUCAACUCUGUUUCAGAUGACAACAACAAUUUAGAAAUUAAUGAGCCAUCAACAAGUUAACAAUAAUGAAGAUGUGGGACAUUUUAUAGAUUAAACCAUUUCUAGUUCACAAAAUUUCACAUCUAUAAGCAAUGACACAGAAAAUGAUUUGCUGAAAUGUGUAAAACAAUUGAAGACUCUCAAUCCAUAAGGAAAGAGGAUAUUAUUUGCAACUAUAAGGUCAAUGCCAAGAAGAACUAACAUCUAAUAAGUGAAAAUUGAGAAGCAAAUCUAUUUCCCAAGAAAAAAAAAUGAAUACAGAGACUACCAGAACUUCAUAGCAAAUAAUUUAGAACAUUGAAAUGAGAUUGACAAAAAAUCGAGGUAAUAAAUUCUAACUGAACCAGCAUGUUACACAUAUGAGACGUACAAUGUUCAAAUGUGGAUAGAAGAACCAGUCAAUAUCAAAAUAAAAUAUGAUAAAUAUCCUUCACAUAAAUUAAUGAAAUCAAUUAUAAUUAAUAUAUUAUAUAUAAUAAUAUAAUAUAAUUUUGAACAACUGUAAGUUUUCUUACAAUAAACUACUUCCUGUAUUGA